UGCAGUCGUCCCGCGCGCCGAAUUGCCGUCUCCAUCUCCGUUCGCGAAGCAAAACCGCCGCCGCUCGCCGAACCCAACCGCCACCCUCUCUUUUCUUCUUCAGAUCUAAACCGUCGCGCCCAUCCGCCUGUAACCGUCGUGCCUCUCCGCUCACAACCGUCGUGCCUCCCUCGCAAAGCAAAUCGUCGUCCAGAUCUGCCUCGCCGUGAACCAUUGGGCUCAUAUUUGGGUACAUCUUGAUUCAGUGAGCGAAUCCUUGAUUUUCCAAAAGGUUGAAGUGGACUUGAUUUUCCACUUCUUGGGAUUUGAUUCAUUGGAUUUAGUAGAUUGAAGAACUUGCAUAAAAGUGAGGUAAGGGAUUUUCUACUGGACUUACCUAAAGUUUUUGAGUUGUGUUGGACUGUAUGGAUGAUGAUUAAGAUGUACAUGUUUGAUUGCAGACUAAAUGUUUAGUGUAUGUUGUAUUUGACUGGAAACAUAUAUAUAUACAUUGAUGUGUGAAUUGAUGUGGAUUGCCGAAAGUAUACAUGUGAAUGACUGAAAUUA